rnacentral:misc_RNA from 1 species
AUUAGAAUUUCCUUAUGAAAGAAGGCAUAACACCCUAGCAUAUCAAAAAAAUUAAGCAUAAGUCACGUAGACAAGUCUUCACUCCCUCAACUUUGCCUUCCAAAAAUAAAAAUUAAAAAACCCAGAAAAACACACCCAUUUAAGCCCUUGACAGUGUACGCGCACCUAAUUCGCUCAUUUGUCAUACUCACAUCCUUCUCUUUCAAGACGCUCCGC